UUGAGAGCCCUGACUCCAAAUCAGCAGGGGUUUUUAUAGUAGUUACAGCAAGGUUCUAGAUUGGCAAUUAAACCUGAUUGGUUGUGCCUUGCGCACCCAAGCUGCAAACGGUUACACCUGGGACAUUGGGGUAGCUGUUGCCAGGGGACGGCUGAACACUUAUCACAAGCAGGUGGGCAAAGUACAGCUUGUGGUUUUAGGUCUCACAUUCUCCCCUUCACGUGUAACUUUAGAGGCCCAAUCAUGGGUCUCGGAGGGUUAAAUCUACUGGGACCUAAGCACCAUUAAUUAUACAGAGCUAACACGUUCUCCAAGGGUUAAGCAAGGGGCCCAGUAGAGAAGAGAUAAACAACACUUUUUACGGAGGGCAGCACAAAGUCUUUUCAUAAUUAUGACCGUCGAAGACACAGUCUGAGCUUGAGAGGAUUGUCGCGGUUUUUGGACACCUGCCAUAAGGGGAUGUAAUCCUCUAGAACAGUGUGUGGAUCUGCGGGGCGGACGUGAGUAUAGUGUACCCACGAGGCAAUCCCGUCAACCUUGAGAGUGGUGGGCGUGGUCAGGACAGUAACAUAGAGUCCUUUUCAACGAGGCUCAAGGUCCUUCUGUUGAUGUCUCCGGACAAAGACCCAGUAGCGAUGGGGCUCGGGAGGUGGUCCGGACUUGAACAGGGCCUUUAAUUUAGGCCAGAUGUCUUUGUGAACACACUGGAGGCUUUGAACAAAAACUUUGGUGGACAAGGAUAUGGGCUCUGAAAUCUUACAACUGUGAGUGCUGUGGGAGAGAUUUCAUGAGCCACACAGCUCUGAACUGUCACUUUCAAUGGAAGCAUGUGGCCAAAAUGUCCUGAGAGAGAAGUUCCAAGAUCAUAGCAAGCAUGUUUCCAUUUAUAUCAGAAAGAACUAAUGAACUCUGCCAUGUUUGAGAACUAUAAAGGCUGGAAUAAACAUUAACUGUGCCUAUGAAUUGGUGCAUUUAGUGAGGUGCCACAUGAUGAUCAAAAGACUUUUCAAAUAGCUUUCAUAACUCCUUGUUAAGUAAUUGUCCUUUCUCAGUCUACUCAUGACAAGUUAAACAUGGAGACAGACAAGCUAACCAUGGAGACAGACAAGCUAAGCUGAAAACAUCCAGAAAAAAUAAAUAUAAAAACUAUGGCUACAGAAAUAUCCAAAAUUUGUAGGAAGUGUUCUAGGCACUUUGGAACAGUCUUUAGUAGGAAGAAACAUGAAAUAUGAGAGCAUCAUUUCACAGCCAAUAA